rnacentral:rRNA from 1 species
UAGCGGCGGACGGGUGAGUAACACGUGGGUAACCUGCCUGUAAGACUGGGAUAACUCCGGGAAACCGGGGCUAAUACCGGAUGCUUGUUUGAACCGCAUGGUUCAAACAUAAAAGGUGGCUUCGGCUACCACUUACAGAUGGACCCGCGGCGCAUUAGCUAGUUGGUGAGGUAAUGGCUCACCAAGGCAACGAUGCGUAGCCGACCUGAGAGGGUGAUCGGCCACACUGGGACUGAGACACGGCCCAGACUCCUACGGGAGGCAGCAGUAGGGAAUCUUCCGCAAUGGACGAAAGUCUGACGGAGCAACGCCGCGUGAGUGAUGAAGGUUUUCGGAUCGUAAAGCUCUGUUGUUAGGGAAGAACAAGUGCCGUUCAAAUAGGGCGGCACCUUGACGGUACCUAACCAGAAAGCCACGGCUAACUACGUGCCAGCAGCCGCGGUAAUACGUAGGUGGCAAGCGUUGUCCGGAAUUAUUGGGCGUAAAGGGCUCGCAGGCGGUUUCUUAAGUCUGAUGUGAAAGCCCCCGGCUCAACCGGGGAGGGUCAUUGGAAACUGGGGAACUUGAGUGCAGAAGAGGAGAGUGGAAUUCCACGUGUAGCGGUGAAAUGCGUAGAGAUGUGGAGGAACACCAGUGGCGAAGGCGACUCUCUGGUCUGUAACUGACGCUGAGGAGCGAAAGCGUGGGGGAGCGAACAGGAUUAGAUACCCUGGUAGUCCACGCCGUAAA